rnacentral:lncRNA from 10 species
GAAUGCAGAUGUGAGGCUGGAGGCAGUAGAGCCAUCUCGCAAUCAUGCAGCAACAAGCAAGGCAGAGCUGGCAUGUUGUUGACUGAUAACAUCGAGAAGCUGCUAUAUUAAUCCUGGACUGCCAAUCUCUGAACUUCUUGAGAUGGGUCUUGCUCUGUCACCCAGGCUGGAGUGCAGUGGCAGGAUUGCAGCUCACUGGAGCCUCCAAAUCCUGGCCUCAAGCGAUCCUCCCGCCUCAGCCUCCUGAGUAUCUGGGACUACAGGUGUGCACCACCACACUAGGCUAUUUAUUAUUUUUGUUAUUAUUUUGUAAAGAUAGGGUCUCACCAUCUUGCUCAGGCUGGUCUUAAACUCCUGGGCUCAAGCGAUGCUCCCCCUGUGGCCCCUCAAAGUGCAAAGAAAACUUAACAGCUUUAUCCACAGUGUUAUUUUCUUUUCUCUUGAUGCUGUGAAUUAUCCCCUUGAUGUCAGUGAAGCUGGGGUUGUUUUGAAAGACUUAAAUCAAUACUUCCAUUGAGAAAAUUGGACCUUGCUGGCUAAAGAUGAAAAGCUGGAACCCUUUCCAACAGCUCACUUCUGUGGGCUGAGAUCAGGGGCAGAUGGCUCAGUGUCCCUUGAGGUGAUUUGAUUACCCGUCACGGCCGGACGCCUGGUCUGGGUACGUGAAGAGAAGCACAGACAGGCAGCUGUAGUUACACUGUUUAAAAAAGCAGAGGUACUUUUUCAAUUCAAUGACAGGAAGGCAAAAUACCCCUACAGGUUUGAAGGAAAAAUAAUUUUUUUCAAAAUGGAAAAUUUCUUCCUGUCUUAAAGGGUCUGUUUCAAUAAUACAUGCCCUUCAGGCUGAAUCUUUGUCAUUCUAGAGUUCUAUCAAGCUUGGUUAAGAAAAUGUCCCAACAAAAACUCCAUUAAUUCCAAAGACUCGUAGAACUAGAGGGUUGAGGGAGAAACUUCAGGAUCAUACAAUGCUGAGUUUAACUCUUUUGUUUUUCAGUAGGAAGCCAGUGACCUCCUGGCAUUUUGGUAGCACAUAACCAUGCACUUUACCCAGUGGGGUGGAUAGGAAGGUGCAUGAAUGUUCCAUGAAGGCUUUUUGGUUGCAUAAUCAGAAACCUACUUCAACUACUUUAAAUAAGGAAGAAAAAUCAAGAGGAGGGCAUGUGAUGGAAAGAAUCCUGGGGGCUCUCACAGAAUCCAAGGACAAAGUGUGCAUCUGAAAAUCACUGGAAACUUGAGGAACUCCAGAGACUUCAGGAACCCCCUGAGCAUCUUCCACCUCUCAGAAACCACAGGGCUUCUUGCAUAUCUGCUCCUUCAUCUUGCACCUGCCCGCCCCACCUGCAGCCCCAUCUCUCUGGCUUCAGCUCUCAGCUCCAGCGCUCACCAUGGACAGACUCAACGUCCCAAGUACUCAAGAGGGAAACCCAUUUGGUUCUCUCUCACUGUCAUGCCAGCCUGGCCACUGGUGAGUCUACUGAGGGAACCCUUAGGUCAAGUGUCCAAUUACAGUGCACUCACCAGAGGCUUGGAGCUGGGGAGGCAGGGCCACUUAUUCAGCUGUGGAAGUGACCCAGAGGCAGGAAACAAUUGGCAUCUUUUAUAACUUGAGAUGGUUUGUUCUCCAGUCAUUUUCAAAUGACUGUCAAAUACGAACAAAAUUGUAGCAUG